rnacentral:rRNA from 1 species
UACGUAGGGUGCAAGCGUUGCCCGGAUUUAUUGGGCGUAAAGGGCGCGUAGGCGGCUCGGCACGUCCGUUGUGAAAUCGCCCGGCUCAACUGGGCGGGGUCAGCGGAUACGGUCGAGCUUGAGCAAGCUAGGGGGCAAUGGAAUUCCCGGUGUAGUGGUGGAAUGCGUAGAUAUCAGGAGGAACACCAGCGGCGAAGGCGGCGCUCUGGGCCGGUACUGACGCUGAGGAGCGAAAGCGUGGGUAGCAAACAGG